GUAGGCAGCGAGCGUUGUUCGGAGUUACUGGGCGUAAAGGGUGCGUAGGCGGUUGUUUAAGUUUGGUGUGAAAUCUCCCGGCUCAACUGGGAGGGUGCGCCGAAUACUGAAUGACUAGAGUGCGGGAGAGGAUAGUGGAAUUCCUGGUGUAGCGGUGAAAUGCGUAGAUAUCAGGAGGAACACCGGUGGUGUAGACGGCUAUCUGGACCGUAACUGACGCUGAGGCACGAAAGCGUGGGUAGCAAACAGGAUUAGAUACCCUGGUAGUCCACGCCCUAAACGAUGCAUAUUUGGUGUGGGGAAGCGAUUUCUCAGUACCGCAGCUAACGCGUGAAGUUGUCCGCCUGGGGAGUACGGUCGCAAGAUUW
rnacentral:rRNA from 1 species